UGUCUCCCACUCUGAUUUCCUCCCCCCUUCAUUUUUCCCUUCCUUCUCCUAAUGUCCUCCAUGCUAUUCCUUCUGUUCCAACAGAUUUUUUAAAGUAAUGUUGCUUGGCACAAAGCACAUUACCAUGUGGAAAGAGAAAUUCAUUUUUGGCUUUUCAUUCAUUCAGAAAAGUUUUACUAAGUGCCUAUAAGCCGCUAGGCACUGUCCUAGAAACGACACGUUUCUACUCAAUAAAGAAAGUGCAUCCCAAUAAUAAAGGUAGGGUGGUUGUUACUAUUCCAACUAAGUUUGAAAGAGGGCCUCGGGGAGCCAGUGAAAGAAGGAAGCAACCGAGGGCAGUGGUUGCCUUCCUCAGAGCACGCUGCCAGAAGCUGAUGCUGCUUUACUGGCGAACCACUGGAUCUAGAGGAGAAAGCAAUUACUCGCACCAACCAGGAAGGAAAACUGUAAAAAAACCUACGUGCCUGUAAUAGUAAACAGUAUUCAUGUACCCUAAUGUGUCUGGGGUGACAUCGUGGUUAGGGAAAUGGACACGACAAGGGAAAACUAUAUGUUCUUUCCAUCUAAUCCAGGAAAUAUUUAUUCCUACCCUCCACCUGUCUAAUUUUAAAUCUCCUUAGCAACAAAUAUUUCACUAUCUUCCCUCCUGCUGCCACCAAAGACUAAAUACAUUAUCUAGUUGAUCUGUUUAUUAAAUUUAGGAGGGGGGAAAGUUUCCUUGACAUUCCACUCAAUUGGAUGUAUUUUAAUUGAAUCCUGUCAUGCGCUGUGUCUUGGUAAACACCCCGUUUCCUGUCGUGGGGGGCAUCCUGUUUGCACCUGUGCACUCCACUUUAAUCAUCCAGCCUUCAAAGUGCUUUGGAGCCAUCAAAUCUUGGGAGAGUCCCAUCUUGCAUCUUAAUCAUUAUUUAUCCAAGUUCUUUAUAAUUAACUCCUUUAAUCUCUACUCAUUAAAUCGAUUUCGUAUUAUCAUUCUGUUGCUCUCUGGAUAGCAGCCAGGUUUUCAGCUCUUGGAUCAGAUUUUUCAAAGGCUCAUUUCCCUGCCUGGGCCUGCACAUAUUUGUCCUAAGUAAUUCACCAUCCCUUCCUUAACACUUCCGAGUCCCUCUCUCUCCCUACUUGUUCCCUUCUUUUUUGAACAUGUUUGCUUUCCCAGUUGAAUGUGAUUUUAUUUUCUGUUCAUCUUAUCUCCUUAAACCCACUGGCAUUUCAUAGUCUUCUCAGGCUCCACAUUAUAGAAGAGAUGACCAGAGUUUCACUUUUUAAAUACUAAAAUGGUCAUGGCACACAGACAUGUUGGGGGCAGUUUUAUUUGGAAGGGUCUUUAAUUAAUUUUGUUAUUACCUCUUGGAGGAGAGCCGAAAGUGACAUGGGAAAAUAAUAUGAAACCACCAAGCAGAUGUCCACCAAUACAAAAAUAGACCUCACAUGCUAUACUUCACACUCUGAGUCUCUUGCCUUAGUGUCUCAGGAUCCAGUUUCUUAUAUUAAAUAGUCUCCUUACUUUUUUGCAAGAGAAUUACCGGCCAUAUACUAAAUUCCCAAUUACUUACCUCUCUGAGUCUUGGAGGUUGUAAUCCGGAAGUCAUAAACUGGCCAGCUCUGAAUGACAGC